rnacentral:rRNA from 1 species
AUUGAACGCUGGCGGCAGGCCUAAUACAUGCAAGUCGAGCGGAUGAAGGGAGCUUGCUCCUGGAUUCCGCGGCGGACGGGUGAGUAAUGCCUAGGAAUCUGCCUGGUAGUGGGGGCUAACGUCCGGUCACGGGCGCUAAUACCGCAUCCGUCCUGAGGGAGAAAGUGGGGGAUCUUCGGACCUCACGCUAUUAGAUGAGCCUAGGCCGGAUUAGCUAGUUGGUGGGGUAAAGGCCUACCAAGGCGACGAUCCGUAACUGGUCUGAGAGGAUGAUCAGUCACACUGGAACUGAGACACGGUCCAGACUCCUACGGGAGGCAGCAGUAGGGAAUAUUGGACAAUGGGCGAAAGCCUGAUCCAGCCAUGCCGCGUGUGUGAAGAAGGUCUUCGGAUUGUAAAGCACUUUAAGUUGGGAGGAAGAGCAGUAAGUUAAUACCUUGCUGUUUUGACGUUACCAACAGAAUAAGCACCGGCUAACUUCGUG